rnacentral:snRNA from 1 species
AGACUUACCUAGAUGGGGUCUUGAUGGGUGAGUGACCUCCAUUGCACAUAGGAGGGGUGCUAAAAUACGGUCUGCCCAAGUGGCAGAUCCUACAUCAUUACUUAAUC